CGUUCUAUUUGAUAUAGAAAAUAUAAAAGAAAGGGGACAUUGUCAGUAAUGGUGGUGUCCUUUCACUUUAUUAUUCUUCUUUUCAAAUAAUAACACGUAUACACCCUUGUGGUGAAUAUAGGAAUUAGGAUUUCUAGUGAGCAGUUAUAGCGUAUCGUUAUAAGCGAGCUAGGAUCUCUUGAUUAUAAACGCUAUUGUUUACAUUUAUUAAGACUAAAGUUUACCUUGUGAAGCAUUGCACUUCGCGUGUAAUGGUUACCAAGUAAAACAAUUAAUAAAUCUAAUACAACUGCUAGCAACGGAUCACUCGGCUCUCGCGUCGAUGAAGAACGUAGCGAACUGCGAAAAUUAAUGCGACCCGCAACACGUGAGUCAUCGAGUCUUUGAACGCAUAUUGCACCCGACGGGUUUACUUGUCGGGUCUGCCUGUCUGAGUAUCAAUACGGACCCAAUCAAUAAAUAAUAUUUGUUGUAUUGGUGCUCAUUAGAACGGGGAGUAAUCCCGGUUGUAAUGGAUCUGAAUGUUCAACUACAGUUUGUGAUUGAUCAUUUGAAAUGCAUUGGUAUUUGAUUAUAGCAAGGCAUUAGCUUUGUUAUAAUCGGCCAACGACCGGUGAUGUCAGAGUCGUAUAAACAUUGUUAUUCAUCUUUCAUUAGGUGUUCAUUGUUUAUUAUCUGCUAUUGCAAACGGUCGAUGGAUAGUAAUGCCAACUAGUAUACUGCUGCUUAACAGCAAAUGUAUCCAAUAUACUCUACCUUUCUUGAUCUCAGAUCAGGCAGGAUGACCCG
rnacentral:rRNA from 1 species